rnacentral:rRNA from 1 species
GUAAAGCACUUUCAGUAGGGAGGAAGGUAGUGUAGUUAACACCUGCACUUAUUUGACGUUACCGUACAGAAGAAAGCACCGGCUAACUCCGUGCCAGCAGACCGCGGUAAUACGGAGGGUGCGAGCGUUAAGUCGGAAGUUACUGGGCGUAAAGCGCAUGCAGGCGGCCUGUUAAGUCAGAUGUGAAAGCCCGGGGCUUAACCUCGGAAUUGCAUUUGAAACUAGGCAGGCUAGAGUCUUGUAGAGGGGGGUAGGAAUUUCAGGUGUAGCGGUGAAAUAGCGUAGAGAUCUGAAGGAAUACCAGUGGCGAAGGCGGCCCCCUGGACAAAGACUGACGCUCAGAUGCGAAAAGCGUGGGGAGCAAACAGGAUUAGAUACCCUGGUAG